rnacentral:tRNA from 1 species
GCCUGGCUGGCUCAGUUGGUGGAGCAUGGAAUUCUUGAUCUCAGGGUUGUGAGUUCGAGCCCCAUGUUGGGUG